rnacentral:rRNA from 1 species
AUUGAGCGCUGGCGGCAUGCUUUACACAUGCAAGUCGAACGGCAGCACGGGCUUCGGCCUGGUGGCGAGUGGCGAACGGGUGAGUAAUAUAUCGGAACGUACCCAGAAGUGGGGGAUAACGUAGCGAAAGUUACGCUAAUACCGCAUACGAUCUAUGGAUGAAAGCAGGGGACCGCAAGGCCUUGUGCUCCUGGAGCGGCCGAUAUCUGAUUAGCUAGUUGGUGAGGUAAAGGCUCACCAAGGCGACGAUCAGUAGCUGGUCUGAGAGGACGACCAGCCACACUGGAACUGAGACACGGUCCAGACUCCUACGGGAGGCAGCAGUGGGGAAUUUUGGACAAUGGGCGCAAGCCUGAUCCAGCAAUGCCGCGUGAGUGAAGAAGGCCUUCGGGUUGUAAAGCUCUUUUGUCAGGGAAGAAACGGUAGAGGCUAAUAUCCUUUGCUAAUGACGGUACCUGAAGAAUAAGCACCGGCUAACUACGUG